UACGGAGGGUGCAAGCGUUAUCCGGAUUCACUGGGUUUAAAGGGAGCGCAGGCGGGCUGGUAAGUCAGUGGUGAAAGCCUUGAGCUUAACUCGAGAACUGCCAUUGAUACUAUCAGUCUUGAAUAUUGUUGAGGUUUGCGGAAUGGUCAUGUAGCGGUGAAAUGCAUAGAUAUGACCCGGAACACCUAUUGCGAAGGCAGCAGGCUAAACAAAGAUUGACGCUGAGGCUCGAAAGCGUGGGGAUCAAACAGG
rnacentral:rRNA from 1 species